CCCUGGAAACGGGGAUAAUACUGCGUAAUACCUAAAUACCGCAUGGUAUUAAGGUCAAAAUCCUACGGACGGUUACAGAAUGGGCAUGCGUGCCAUUAGCUAGAUGGUAAGGUAACGGCUUACCAUGGCAAUGAUGGCUAGGGGUCUGCAGGAAGGCCCCCACACUGGUACUGAGACACGGACCAACUCCUACGGAGGCAGCAGUGAGGAAUAUUGGUCAAUGGAGGCAACUCUGAACCAGCCAAGCCGCGUGAAGGAAGACUGUCCUAUGGAUUGUAAACUUCUUUUGUGGCAGAAUAAACUACCGUACUUGUACGGUAUUGCAUGUAUGCCAUGAAUAAGCAUCGGCUAACUCCGUGCCAGCAGCCGCGGUAAUACGGAGGAUGCAGGCGUUAUCCGGAUUUAUUAGGUUCAAAGGGUGUUCAGGCUGCCUGGUAAGUCAGGGGUGAAAGUCGGUUGCUCAACGAUCGAAUUGCCUUUGAAACUGUCAGGCUCGAGUAUGGAUGCGGUAGGCGGAAUGUGUAGUGUAGCGGUGAAAUGCCUAGAUAUUACACAGAACACCGAUUGCCAAGGCAGCUUACCAAACCAGCACUGACGCUGAAGCACGGAAAGCCGUGGGGAGCGAA
rnacentral:rRNA from 1 species